GAUGAACGCUGGCGGCGUGCCUAAUACAUGCAAGUCGAGCGAACAGACGAGGAGCUUGCUCCUCUGACGUUAGCGGCGGACGGGUGAGUAACACGUGGAUAACCUACCUAUAAGACUGGGAUAACUUCGGGAAACCGGAUCUAAUACCGGAUAAUAUAUUGAACCGCAUUGUUCAAUAGUGAAAGUCGGUUUUUCGGACACUUAUAGAUUGAUACGCGCCGCAUUAGCUAGUUGGGAAGGUAACGGCUUACCAAGGCAACGAUGCGUAGCCGACCUGAGAGGGUGAACGGACAGCCUGGAACAGAGACACGGUCCACACUCCUACGCGAGGACGCAGUAGAGACUCUUACGCGAUGGGGCAGAGCCUGACGGUGCAACACGGCGUGAGUGAUGAAGGACUUCUGAUCGUAAAACUCUGUUAUUAGGGAAGAACUAAUGUGCAAGUAACUAUGAACGUCUUGACGGUACCUAGUCAGAAAGCCCCGGCUAACUCCGUG
rnacentral:rRNA from 1 species